CUUAAAGUGCACAUUCUUGUUCAUUGUUCAUAUAUAUAUAUAUAUAUUUGUUUUGUACAUAAGGAAAUGGUUUUGUACAUAAGGAAAUGUCAGCAGUUUUUGUUUCAACAGGAAGUUCUGCUUUUGCAUUUUUCGCUGAAUGUUUAUUCUGUGAAUUUGUAAUUUAGAGGAAGACUAUUCUUGCAGCAAAGUUUAAUUGAGCUGUGCAAGGUGCAAUUUCAGAAUUAGUUUGUGCAUAUUUUGUAAGUUACUUGUUUCAUCAGGUGAUGAGAUUAAUACAGAUUUUUAAAAAAGAACACAUGGUCUAUUAUUUACACCUAACAUAUAACUGCAACAUUGUUUUUAAAAAAAAGACUUGAAAGGACUUGAAAUUCAAAGUGUGCGACUUGGGACUUGACUUGAAAGUUGUCUGUCUUGACUUACGACUUGACUCGGACUUGCUUGACUUUACUUGAGACUUGACUCUGACUUGAGGAUAAAGACUUAAGACUUACUUGAGACUUGCAAAACAAUGACUUGGUCCCACCUCUGUUAAAUAAUAGUGAUAUUUUCAAUUUAUUGAACACAUUUAAUUAAAUCCAAAGAGCCCUUUCCACAUCCUUUCUGAGCAUGCGCAGAGAAUGAAAAAAAUCUUCGCGCAUACGCAUUCACCUUCUUCAUCUACGCCACAGUGUGCUUUGGCCACGUGUCUGGAAAGAGCGAUUCAUCGUGAUUCAUCCGUUGGAGUCAAGGUUGCUGCUUGUGGAAUUUGGAGCUGUGGAGAUUUGAGCUGUGCUCCAAAAAUGCAUGUUAAAGGUACAAAAUGCUUUCAUAUUAUUUACUUUUUCCUUAAUACGCAAUUUUACAUUUUGAAUUCUCUUAUUUGGUCUUUUAGGUUAUAAAUGUGGUGUUGUAAGCUUUGCUCUUUAAGUGUAUCUAAAAGGUACCAAAUUCUAAAACACUUGAGACUUAAACACUCAAUUCCUGGUCUGAGACGCUCAUAUCCGUGCAUUUACAGUCAUUGUCUUUGUACUUUCAAAACAUGGGGUGGUCUUAGGACUCAUCUAAGUCGUGCACAUGUUGCUAAGUAGGGUUGCAAAGGGGCGGAAAAUUUUCGGUAAAUUUCCGAAAAGUUUCCGGUAAAUUUCCAUGGUAAGUUAAGCUUGGGAAUUUUGGAAAUAUUCCAUAUUGGAAACUUUCCAUGGAAAUAAUGGGAAUUAUGGAAAUUAAUGGGAAUUUAGGAGAACUAACUGGGAAUAUAUUAUUUCCAAGCAUAAAUAUAAACAGAAAUCAUAAGAAAACCUCCAUGCAAAAUGUUUUCAACAGAUAUUUCAACGGAUUUAUUUGUAAGUACAGUAGAAUAGAACACGUUUCAAUAACUUGUUUCAUGGAUGAAUAAAAACAGAAAUGUUGAUUUCAAUAUUGCCAUCCCCUAACCCCGCUCAUUCGAAAAUGCCCCCUGUCCAGAAAUCUCCACAAAGUCCCAUUCAAAAGGUUAAACUUAUCCUUCAAAACGUCCCAUUAAACAUGCAAAUCUUCCUUCAAGCAAUCCUCUUUUCUCAUUUUUGCUCAGUCAAUAGACUCUUCCUGGACCUCAUCAUCAUCCAACAACAUGUCCACUU
ensembl:lncRNA